rnacentral:rRNA from 1 species
AUUGAACGCUGGCGGCAGGCCUAACACAUGCAAGUCGAGCGGUAGAGAGAAGCUUGCUUCUCUUGAGAGCGGCGGACGGGUGAGUAAUGCCUAGGAAUCUGCCUGGUAUGGGGGAUAACGUUCGGAAACGAACGCUAAUACCGCAUACGUCCUACGGGAGGAAGCAGGGGACCUUCGGGCCUUGCGCUAUCAGAUGAGCCUAGGUCGGAUUAGCUAGUUGGUGAGGUAAUGGCUCACCAAGGCGACGAUCCGUAACUGGUCUGAGAGGAUGAUCAGUCACACUGGAACUGAGACACGGUCCAGACUCCUACGGGAGGCAGCAGUGGGGAAUUUUGGACAAUGGCGCAAGCCUGAUCCAGCAAUGCCGCGUGCAGGAUGAA